rnacentral:rRNA from 1 species
UAAGAUAUUUAUUUAAGAUAUAUUCUGCUCAGUGAGUAAUUAAAUAGCUGCAGUAUAUUGACUGUACAAAGGUAGCAUAAUAGAUUGCCUUUUAAUUGAAGGCUAGAAUGAAUGAAUGAACAAAAAUAUAGCUAUUUAAAAUAUAUAAAUAUAAUUUAAUAUAUUAGUGAAGAAGCUAAUAUUUUAUUAAAAGACAGAAAGACCCUYUGAGCUAUUAUUUUAUAUAAUAUAUWAUAUAGUUUUGAAUUUUGACUGGGGUGGUUUAGGAAUAUAUAUAACUUCCUUAUAUUAAUAUGAUGUUUAUUCUAUUAUUGAUCUUGAAAUAGUUUUAGAAAAGUUACCUAAGGGAUAACAGAUUAAUUUUUUUGGAAAGUUCUUAUUGAUAAAAAAGAUUAAUACCUCGAUGUUGGCUUAAGAUUUCCUUUAGAUGAAGAAGUUUAUAAGGUUAGUUUGUU